ensembl:misc_RNA 7SK 7SK RNA
GGAUUUGGAGGGCGGAUCUGACUAUGCCUUCUGCCACCUCAUUGAUAGCCAAGGAUGAUUCGGUUGGUUAGGCGAGGGUAUCCUCUUCCUCCUCACUGCUUUUGCUCUCUUUACAUUCCUCCCAAAGCUGCGCGCUUGGUGGAAGAGGAUGACCAAGCCCGCUAGAGGAGACUGGUCUUCUGUCAAGGGUAUAGCAGUACCAGCACUCCUCUGGUAGAACCUCCAAGCAAGCUUCCCAGGAUAUAACAGCGACUGAGAACUCAGGAAAACUUGACCUCCUAC